UCCCCCUCUCCCUCUCUCCUUCUCUCCCUCUCUCCCCCUCUUGUAAAUUAACCACUAGAAUUGGCAGCUUCCUCUUCCUCUGAGCCCUGACCCUUUUGGAUGAGCUGUGGUCAAGGCUAUUGGAGCGAGAGAGGGUGUGGCGUUCUGUGUGGCCACUAGGGCGCACUCCUGCUGCUCCUCACCCCAUUCCUGGAGGCUUUAGUGAGGGUAAAUGAGAUGAUCUUUUUAGGCUAUUUUGGAUUAAAUCUGUUGGAAAAUAGACAAUAACCUGACCCUAACAACCACCUUGCAAAUGAAGAUUGAUAGAAGUAAACGCACACGGCAUAGCCUUAAUACAUUUGUAAUAAACCUACCCAUACGUUUACAUUUUUCACUCUAUACAAUUCAUGUACAGUUCAUGUACAAUUCAUGUACAGUAACGGUCAAAAGUCUUAGAACACCUACUCAGUCAACGGUUUUUAUUUAUUUAGUAGAAUAAUAGAGAAGACUUCAAAACUGUGACAUAACAAAUAUUAUUUAUUUUUAUUUAUUUAUUAUUUUUAUUUUUUUAACCUUUUAUUUAAUUAACUAGGCAUGUCAAUUAAGAACAAAUUCUUAUUUACAGUGACGGCCUGGGACUUUUACUAUAUGACCGGUGUUCUAGUGGUUGUGUAGUGGUCCUAGCUGCUAUCUGAGCUAGUUAACAUAUCAGACAGCUGUUUCUUUCGUCUCCUUAAUAAGAGUUAGGAUCAAUUCCAUUUCAAUUCAAAGUUGAAAGUUCCUGUUACCUUCCCGAAUUGACUGAAAUGAAAUGAAAUGGACCUCAACCCCGAUGCCCUCACUAUAGAGACAACAGGUGACUUCUUCUCCUGCUUCCAGUAUGUCCUGUCGUGUUGUCAGGCUCUGAGAUAUACAUGUACAUAUUUGUAAAUAUGUCUCUGCUCAGGUCUAGAUUGAGUGGACAGAGUAUUGUAGGUAAGGGGGCAUAUCACCAACCCUAUGCUGUUAGCAGUGGUUUAAAUCUCACAUGACUCAGAACCUCAGAUGAAGUGUACAUCAGCAUCAUGUAAAUAGCUGAUAUACAGUCAGUAGAUGAGUUGGGGUUUUAUAGGUCAUCUUCCUACAGCAGGCUCUGUGUUGUACUUGGAUGUGUGUACAUUACCCUGACGAUAGAAUAACAGCUGCUACAGUCAGACGCAAGCAAGCAUGUCUGUGGUAUGCGGACGCUUCAACCGAGCACUUCAAGGCUAGCCUGGGUGGCAGGCUGUUUCGGGCUCUCUUGCCAACUCCUUAUGGAAUGGAUGACAAUGGAGUAGGUGGGAAGCAAAAACUGGGACCAGGCUACUUCACGGCUAUGAGAGCAAACUACUAGUGUCUGAGAACUAGGAAAAGUCUGGCUUUUCUUUUCUUUUCUGUGCUUUUCUUAUGCAUCGAUCUGUACAGAGAGAGAGAGAGAGCGAGAAAGGGAUAUUUUGGAGUUGUAACAUAUUGUACCUACUGUAUCCAGACAUGGGCUCAAAUACUACUUGAAAUCUUCCGAAUACUUUAGCUGGGCUUGAUUGAGCUUGUCCUGGCAGAAUGGAACCAAUAGAACUGCUGGGGGUGCCGGAGGAGUCGUUGCCAAUCCUCAUUGCCUGUGGUCUGCCCGUCAGGAAGUCCAGGAUCCAGUUCCAGAAGGUAGUGUCCGGACCCAGGGCUCUGAGAAGUCCAGGAUCCAGUUCCAGAAGGUAGUGUCCGGACCCAGGGCUCUGAGAAGUCCAGGAUCCAGUUCCAGAAGGUAGUGUCCGGACCCAGGGCUCUGAGUUUGGUCUCGAGCUUGGAGGGAACUAUAGUGUUUGAAGGCUGCACUGUAGUCAGUGAACAGCAUUCUCGCGUAGGGGUUCCUCUUGUCCAGAUGGGUUAGGUCCGUGUGAAUAGCGAUGGAAAUCUGUUGUGCUUCUGUUGGAGCUGUAGGCAAACUGAAGUGGGUCCAGUGUGCCUGGUAUGAUGAUGGCCUUGAAUGAUGCGAAUGAAAAUAAAUCAUUAAAAGAUUUCAAAUAGUAUUUAAAUCCAGGUCUGACUGUAUCUACAUGGGUUGGCAGGUUCUAUAUAUCUUCAUCUCAAUUCUAUAUACCUUCAUCUCAAUUCUAUAUACUUUCAUCUUUAUUCUAUAUACCUUCAUCUCAAUUCUAUAUACCUUCAUCUCAAUUCUAUAUACCUUCAUCUCAAUUCUAUAUACCUUCAUCUCAAUUCUAUAUACCUUCAUCUCAAUUCUAUAUACUUUCAUCUUUAUUCUAUAUACCUUCAUCUCAAUUCUAUAUACUUUCAUCUUUAUUCUAUAUACCUUCAUCUCAAUUCUAUAUACCUUCAUCUCAAUUCUAUAUACCUUCAUCUCAAUUCUAUAUACCUUCAUCUCAAUAUGUCUGUUCUGUUGUCGUCUGUCCAGUGGUCAGUUACAUUCACUAAUACAGAAUGGAAAAUAUCAUUGGGGGAAAAUACUACAUUUUAGUAAUUAUGUAUCAACUUUUUUUAUACAAGUUUAUUUACGUUUUUAUUUAUUUAUUUCAUUUUUUAUUUUAAAUAUAUGUAUUAUUUAAUGCAAGUUGUGUUUUUAUUGUUAGUAUUCUAUAUAAUGUUAUAUAUAUGUUUACCUCUGAUUUGCACAUGGAUAAUGUAUUUGUCAUGUACUAUUUGUCAACCAAUUGUUUGUAUUACUGUUGAAUACUUCUGGAUAUAUCAGAAGACACUUUAGUUGCAGACUGGUAGUGAGAAACAGAGAAACAUAGAAACAGAAUGCAUGGCAUGUAUAAACCUGCCAUUCUUAAAACACAGAGGUACAGGUAUCGGAGACUAUCCAUCUGAACUUUCCCCCAAACCACCUCCCGAUCACAGACACACAGAAUUACUGCCUCCCAGUGAGAUCCCUUCUGAUCAGCCAGUCAAGACAAGAGGGCCAGGGAAGGCUUCCCGUGUGUGUGUAUGUUAGGGCUACCAGGGAGAAGGAUGACUACCAGGGAGAAGGAUGAAGGUAAUGUUGUCAGUCUGAUGUUGAAGGAUUGUUCUACUCAGUUAUAUCACAAUCACCAGCUGGGUGUUCUGUGUGCAAGGAGUUUUGAAUAUUUGUUUUAUUUCCUGUGUUUACAACCACCAGGGUCGUAACCACCAAGGUCGUAACUACCAGGGUCGUAACUACCUGGGUCGUAACCACCAGGGUUGUAACUACCAGGGUGUUAACUACCAGGGUUGUAACUACCUGGGUCGUAACCACCAGGGUUGUAACUACCAGGGUCAUAACUACCAGGGUCGUAACCACCAGGGUUGUAACUACCAGGGUCGUAACUACCAGGAUUGUAACCACCAGGGUUGUAACCACCAGGGUCGUAACUACCAGGGUCGUAACUACCAGGGUCAUAACUACCAGGGUCGUAACCACCAGGGUCGUAACCACCAGGGUCGUAACUACUAGGGUCGUAACCACCAAGGUUGUAACUACCAGGGUCAUAACUACCAGGGUCAUAACCACCUGGGUCGUAACCACCAGGGUUGUAACUACCAGGGUCAUAACUACCAGGGUCGUAACUACCAGGAUUGUAACCACCAGGGUCGUAACUACCAGGGUCGUAACCACCAGGGUCGUAACCACCAGGGUCGUAAUUACCAGGGUCGUAACUACCAGGGUUGUAACUACCAGGGUCAUAACUACCAGGGUUGUAACUUCCAGGGUCAUAACCACCAGGGUUGUAACUACCAGGGUCGUAACCACCAGGGUCGUAACCACCAGGGUCAUAACUACCAGGGUUGUAACUACCAGGGUCAUAACUACCAGGGUUGUAACUACCAGGGUCGUAACCACCAGGGUUGUAACUACCAGGGUCGCUAUCACCAGGGUCGUAACUACCAGGGUUGUAACUACCAGGGUCGUAACCACCAGGGUUGUAACUACCAGGGUCGCUAUCACCAGGGUCGUAACCACCAGGGUCGUAACUACCAGGUCCAUUCUCUCUUGCUCUGUGACUCCUCUGAACCCUGUAUACAAAACCAACACCCCGUAUAAACUGCCAUGAGGCUGAACAACAAUGCAUUGUGCGCUUUACCUUGUGUAAACAACUUAUUUUUGUUUGCUCUCCUCAACUAUUUGAAAUCAACAGCCUAUAGAUAGCACUAGCAGUGUGUGGGUAAAAUCACUGGACAAGCUGAGCCCGUCAAAAAUCCAUAUUAAAACCUAUAUUGUGAUAAUUUCUCUAUACUCAUUAGUUCAUACGCCACCAUGAUAUACAAUAAGACCGUGACAACAAAAAGACAACUGUCUCACAGUGGCCGAAUAAAUUUGACUGGACAUGCAGUACCAGUCAAAAGUUUGGACACACCUACUCAUUCAAGGGUUUUUCUUGAUUUGUUUUACUAUUUUCUACUAUUUUCUACAUUGAAUAGAAUAAUAGUGACUACAUCAAAACUAUGAAAUAACACAUGUGAAAUAAUGUAGUAACCAAAAAGUGUUAAAAAAUCAAAAUCUAGUUUAUAUUUGAGAUUCUUCAAAGUAGUAGCUGUCAAAGUAGCCACCUUUUGCCUUGAUGACAGCGUUACAGACUAUCGGCAUUCUCUCAACCAACGUCACCUGGAAUGCUUUUCCAAGUUUUAAAGGAGUUCCCACAUAUGCUGAGCACUUGUUGUCAUUUUUUCCUUCACUCUGUGGUCCAACUCAUCCCAAACCAUCUCAAUUGGGUUGAGUUCGGUUGAUUGUGGAGGCCAGGUCAUCUGAUGCAGCACUCCAUCACUCUCCUUCUUGGUCAAAUAGCCCUUACACAGCCUGGAGGUGUGUUGGGUCAUUGUCCUGUUGAAAAACAAAUGAUAGUCCCAUUAAGCACAGACCAGAUGGGAUGGCGUAUCACUGCAGAAUGCUGUGGUAGCCAUGCUAGUUAAGUGCGCCUUGAAUUCUAAAUAAAUCACUGACAGUGUCACCAGCAAAUCACCCCCACAUCAUAACACCUCCUCCUCCAUGCUUUACAGUGGGAAAUAAACAUGCAGAGAUCAUCCGUUCACCCACACAGCAUCUCACAAAGACAUAACACCUCCUCCUCCAUGCUUUACAGUGGGAAAUAAACAUGCAGAGAUCAUCCGUUCACCCACACCGCAUCUCACAAAGACAUAACACCUCCUCCUCCAUGCUUUACAGUGGGAAAUAAACAUGUAGAGAUCAUCCGUUCACCCACACAGCAUCUCACAAAGACAUAACACCUCCUACUCCAUGCUUUAAAGUGGGAAAUAAACAUGUAGAGAUCAUCCGUUCACCCACACAGCAUCUCACAAAGACAUAACACCUCCUCCUCCAUGCUUUACAGUGGGAAAUAAACAUGUAGAGAUCAUCUGUUCACCCACACAGCAUCUCACAAAGACAUAACACCUCCUCCUCCAUGCUUUACAGUGGGAAAUAAACAUGCAGAGAUCAUCCGUUCACCCACACCGCAUCUCACAAAGACAUAACACCUCCUCCUCCAUGCUUUACAGUGGGAAAUAAACAUGUAGAGAUCAUCCGUUCACCCACACCGCAUCUCACAAAGACAUAACACCUCCUCCUCCAUGCUUUACAGUGGGAAAUAAACAUGUAGAGAUCAUCCGUUCACCCACACCGCAUCUCACAAAGACACGGCGGUUGGGGGAAAGAAAAGGAAAUUGGACUCAUCUGACCAAAGGACAGAUUUCCACCGGUCUAAUGCUCGUGUUCCUUGGCCCAAGCAAGUCUCUUCUUAUUAUUGGUGUCCUUUAGUAGUGGUUUCUUUGCAGCAAUUCGACCAUGAUGAAGGCCUGAUUCACGUAGUCUCCUCUGAACAGUUGAUUUUGAGAUUUGUGAAGCAUUUAUUUGGGCUGCAAUUGCUGAGGCUGGAAACUCUAAUGAACUUAUCCUCUGCAGCAGAGGUAACUCUGGGUGUUCCUUUCCUGUGGCGGUCCUCAUGAGAGCCAGUUUCAUCAUAGUGCUUGAUGAUUUUUGUGUUGAAGAAACUUUAAAAGUUCUUGAAAUGUUCCUCCGCAUUGACUUCAUGUCUUGAAGCAAUGACGGACUGUCAUUUCUCUUUGCUUAUUUGAGCUGUUAAUAUGGACUCGUUCUUUUACCAAAUAGGGCUAUCUUCUGUAUACACCCCCUACCUUCUAACAACCCAUCUGAUUGGCUCAAAGGCAUUAAGAUGGAAAUAAAUUCCACUAUUUAACUUUUAACAAGGCACACCUGUUAAUUGAAAUGUAUUCCAAGUGACUAACUCAUGAAACUGGUUGAGAGAAUGCCACGAGUGUGCAAAGCUGAUAUCAAGGCAAAGGGUGGCUACUUUGAAGAAUCUCAAAUAUAAAAUAUAUUUGGAUUUGUUUAACGCUUUUUUGGUUACUACAUGAUUCCAUAUGUGUUAUUUCAUUGUUUUGAUGUCUUCACUAUUAUUCUACAAUGUAGAAAAUUGUAAAAAAAAUAAUAAAGAAAGAAAAAAACCUUUGAAUAAGCAGCUGUGUCCAAACCUUUGACUGGUAUUGUAUGUUUGUUUCAUCACAAAACCCGGAGAGCAACAUCUGUGCGGUGAAGUCCACAAAGCAAAUAUUGCAUGUAACAAACAGUUACAUGACCUGGAACAUGGUCCAACAAGUUAAUGUUUUCGACAGUUUUACUAAACAACUACUGAUUUAGAACCACUGAGUUUCCGCAAGUCAGCACAAAGACGACGAGAGUAUCGCCUCCGCUGUUACAGCACCAUUUCAACUUAAACAUUCACAUCAAAUCAACAAGGCUAUAUAUGCUUAGUUUGAACUCCAAUGCCAUCCUCCUCUCUUACAUGUUGGCAAAUCAGUCAAUGUCUCUGUCAUACAGUACUCUUUACGUUGUUGUUUUCAUAGGCUAGCAAGAAUUCUAGCUAGGUAGCCUAACCUAACUUCCUCGCAUGGGCAACAAUGAGCCAGCUUAGUUAGCUAGUUAACUAGUUAGUUAAUGUGAGCCUCAGGCCAGUGGUACAAUAUAUUAAUUAAUGGUUAGAUCAGUGUCGCCAUCAUAAUCAUUGGCCUGUAGAGAGAAUUAAGUCAAAACCACAAGUCCAAAUCCCCAUCUCCAUCCAUGGCCUAGGAAAGGGACCAUCUAGCAAGCUAGCUACUGCAGGACAUCAACACAAGUUGGCCAGAAACUAAAAAUAAUUUUUUUCUUAGGAUGUGAUUUGAUUGGUGUGAAGCCAAAUCCGAAGUGACCUCCUGUUGGGGGGUGGGGGAGGGGUUUGCUGCACCAGGCCAUCCCACAGUUGAGCUCAGCUCAAUGCUGAUUGGCUAUUUAUUUAAUUUAUUUGUAUUUAUCAAGGAAGGCCAAAUGCUACAGCCACAACACUUCAUAAUCUUUUGUUCCAGACAGCGUCAGAUACAGGGACGACACAGCCUCUCUGUUCCACUCGCUCAGAGAUUCAGCCACUAGCGAAUUGACGAAAAAUGAUGAAAACACAGAGAGAGAGACGAAAGAUACAUUUAAAUGUUUCUAUUGGUCAAAUAUUUGGGGAAGCUUCCUUUGGUAUCCAUGACUACACAUCACUGAUAGAUAGUGGCUGGGAUCUCUGCACUAUAGGUCUAGACAUGUGGGAUGAUGAUGAUGUUGAUGAUGAAGAUGAUGUUGAUGACGAUGAUGAUGAUGAUGAAGAUGAUGUUGAGGAUGAUUGAUGAAGAUGAUGUUGAGGAUGAUGAUGAAGAUGAUGUUGAGGAUGACGAUGUUGAGAAAGAAACUGAGUGUUAGUCUGUCUCUGUCUGUCUGUUGUCUGAUUUGUAACCAAUCUGAAGAUGUUCUAGUCCUAUCCCUGAUGCAUUAUGGGGACUGUAGUACAUUGUGGUAUUAUUCUAAAAUACAGUGUACAGUAGUAAUAAACUAAAGAAAAAAAGACAACAACGUAUCAAUAUACGAGCCUUUGUUUGUUUGUAGUGUGCUGGAUAGUGCAUGCAGUACAUGCCUGUAGCUGCUGAGAAACAACCAACAUGUUAUUAUAAGGAAAGUCUUACAAUAAAGAUGCUGCGUAUCACGACA